GGCAAACUUAGAAUUCAAAAUGUCUCUAUCAUCCCAAAGCCACAUUCUUGACCUCAACAUGUCUUAAAUAUUGUUUUCCCUUACUGCCUGGUGACGUAAAAGUUUUAUUUAUACGUUUUUCCAGGGCUUCAUUUAUAUAACAGCAACAACAAAUUUGUCAUGGAAUUUGUUCAGUGCAUCCUUGAGUUGCAUUAAGGAAGCAAACUCAUGAAACAUGCUUGUAGCGGCCUCCUCAUGGCUCUCCUUGUGUGCCCUGGCAAAUCUUUGGCUGGGACAUGCUCUCCUUCUACCCAAGAAUGCCCCCUAGGACAUAGCCAUGCACAGUUCAUUGGCAGAUGCUUAGGAUUUCUCUUCAGAAGUCCUUCCACGUGGCACAAGGGGCACGUACAAAUCCAGGAACCACUCUGGGUAUCCAUAAAUAAGUGCAGGAUAUACAACAGUUCAGAAGUUAUAAAGUAAAAAUAAAUUAUUAAAUCCCCCUGUCUCCCCAACCUCAUUGCCUAUAACCCAUUCCCAGAAAUACCAUUGUUAACAAUUUAGUAUAUAUCCUUAAAUGCAUUUUCUACACAUAUAUAAAUAAGUUUUUUAAUGAAAGGGGUCAUAUUAUCUGUAUUGUUCUGAGACUUGCUGUUUAAACUACAAAGUGGCCAUCUCUUCACAUCAGUGUAUGUAGAUUUACUACUUCAUUCUUACCGCAUACCAGUCCACAUUAUGAAGGUGCCAUUAUUGCUUUAAUCAAAUCCUCUAUUGAUGGCCAUUUGUGUUGUUUCUAGGUUUGUUUUGUUUUGUUUUCAGGACGCUUUGCUUCUGCAGAGUGUGAGGGGCCCAAAAAAAUGUUGUUUGGGCUCAAUUUUGGACCAAACAUUUUUCUGAAUUUGCCAUUGUUUGUCCUUAACUUUCUUCCCUUUUUGAGCUUGUUGGCUGUUUCCCUCCUGCUGUUCCCUCUAAUCUCACUAAUACUCAGUUCAAGGUAUGUUUGUUGCUUUAAAGAUCUCCUUACAAAAUCUAGGACUCUUUGGAGGAGGUGUGUUCAGCAAAUAAACAAACUACUAUCCUGACUUUACAUUCUUAUUCUAGAGGAUUUCGGAGAUGCUGGAAGAAGUUCUCCUGUUAUCUGGGAAUCAGCUUAAAAGCCUCAAGUUAUGUUUAAACUGUGCUUCUCAUUUCCUUUUUAACAGUAUCAUAGAUAAAGAUUGACUGAAUAUGUUUAAACUGAAGGCAUAGCCUAUAACUUCAAAGAGUUUACUGGCUCCUACAGUCUACUGGGAGGCAAAAUUAGUGUAAGGGAAACAAUUGGAGAGCAGUUGAGUAUUAAUUAUGUGUUACAAGCCCUUGGGCACCAAAAGUUCAGGGAGGAGAAAGCUGGAGGAGUUCUCUGCCCCUCCAAGGGGAAGGUGGAACUUGAGCUGAGUUAGAAAGCAGGAGGUAACUUUCGGAGAAUUUUAGGCAGAAGUUGGAAGGCGUUUCAAGUACAGGGUAAAUUUUCAUACCUUUUUAUUAUCUGAAAUUUUCUUAGUUUUUGUUUAGGAUCUGCUUACCCCCCUGAGAACAUAAGCUUGAUGAAAGCAAGGACCGUUUCUUAUCACUGUUGAAUCCCAGUUCCUGGUACAGUGCCUGGCACAUAGUGGAUGGUCAAUGGAUUUAUGAAUGAAUGAACAAAUUAACAAACGACCAUGGGGUGUGUGAAGAGCAGUGAGAAGACUGGACUAUUUGGAAAGAAGUGUCUUUCCUUGAGGAGUAGAGGAAUCUCCGAUUCUCCAACAGACUGGCAGAGGAACAAGUAAAUGGGCCUGCAUGGGAUUCAAAACACAGGGGCAAGUGGAACCAGCUGAACAAGAUGCCCACACUGAGGAAUCCUUGGCCCUGUGUUCUUCCUUCUCUUCCCCGCUUUCCACCAAUUCAUCCAGAACCCUAACCACAUCAAGCCUUCCCAGCAAUGGUGGUGUUACCCCCAACUAACUGCACAUACCUGGGACCUUUGGGGUUCCUACACGUGCUGAUUGUCUCCUUCCUAAAUCAAGUGAAUGAGUGAAGAAGCAUAAACCUCCUUCAAGACAUGAAGUCCUGCUCUCGGGAAGGCUCUCUGCACCUCCUCUCCAAGAUUAUGAAGCAGCUGUGGAAUUUGGAUGGGUUGACCCUUCAGCUCUUGGAAUGAACUUUGGUUUGAGUGAAUCAGUAAAGCCCAUCACGCUGGCCAUCGUGAUUGGUUUGGGAAUGAGUCCAUGCCAUAAUUCCAACUAACGAGACAUGUUCACUGGAGGUGAACUAGGAAGCACAAAGUCUCAGACAUACUAUAUCAGUCUCAGUAUGAAGGCAGUGCUAUGGACAUCAGAGUCCUUGAUGACAGGGUUCAGGCUCUGGAUCAACCCAUCCAGAGAGGUCAUGAGGAUGGAGCACCAUGAUGGGAUUAGUGCCCUUAUAAGAAAAGAUGGCAGAAAGCCUCUCUUGCUCUCUCUACCAUGUGAGGACAUAUGUGAUAAGGCAGCUGUUUGUAGCCAGGAAGAGAGCCUCACCAGAACCUAACCGUGGCAGCUCCAUGCCUCUGAAAUGAUUCACAGGCAAGCUGCCUUUGGGGGGCUCUGAGGAUGGCAUCGUCACCUAAAUAAAUGAAGAUUACAAAGAAGAACAAGGAGGAGAAGGGGAAGGAAAGAAAAGGUGAGAGGCAACAUGGUGAAGAGCAGUACUUCUCACUCAUUUCCACCAGAACAGCAGAGAACAAUGAAAGCACACCAUCCAAAGGCCUGGGGGCAUGGCCAGAAAAAGUGUGCCAAUAUCUUUGAAAUCUUAUAUUUUAUUGUAAAAAGUCAUGCAAAUUCUGCAUUCUACUUCAUAAUGUGCCUUUACUCUUUUAUAUA